GGUACCUUACUCAAUCGAGUACCAACAUAACGUGUCUUUUCAUAUCAUAUUAUCAUAGAUAACUGAGCCGAAAAGGCUGCCAUGAGAUAAGUAGAAUACAACAUGUAAUACCAACUUAUACAUAAGACAUAUGGGCCUAUAAGACCAAAAUAACCACUCGGACACUGAACAUAGGCCGACAAAUCCAUACAAUCUUUUAUGUACAUGACAUCAGUCUACAAGCCUCUAAGAAUACAUAAUUAUCAUAAAGGUCGGGACAGAGUCCUGCCAUACUAAACAAUACACGUCUAAAUCAUACUGACCAAAUAAGUAACUCCGGAGCAAAUAGAGUGCACCAAUAUCUUCCAUUGAGCUAAUAGAAUACUUGGAGGGCUCUCGACCUGUCUAUCGGGACCUGCGGGCAUGAAACGCAGCGUCCCCGGGUAAAAAGGGACGUCAGUACAAAUAAUGUACUGAGUAUGAAAGGAAUAAAAAUCAGUAAAUAAUAGACAUGAGAGAAACAUGGAGUAAAAGACUCGACAUGUACGUCUGCAUAUCUCUGUGAAUUAUUUUAUUUUUAUAAUGUCAUGCAUAUGCAUAUAAAUGUCAUACCAUGCAUAUGUAUAUGUGUUCAUAACAUCAUCAAGCCUCUGAGGGUAUCCCAUCAUAUCAUUUCAUCCACUAUGGGCAAUUCAUCAACGUAUAUUAGCUGAUCAGGUGGUGGUGCGUAUAUAACGCCAUAACCUUUUCCCAUAUCCCAUAUACAUAUAAUAUACGCGUAUAUAACGCCAUCUGGUCAUGGAUCAAUGUACGUGUAUAAAUUCAUGAAAUGCAUAAGAAAUACGUUAAUAAGACUUUCUCGAAAUGUCAUAAAAAUAAUAUGCCUAUCGGAUAAAUUUUAUCAAAUACAUAAUUUUUCGAGACCCAUGAACAGAAGAUAUAAUAGUAAUUCACAUGAGGAAUCAAGAAUAUAGACACCCCUUGUAUUUCUAUGAAUAGAGUCAUUUAUGAAAAUUGUGCUUUUGCUCGUUUUGUUCGGGUCGUAUAGAUCAUGCCAAAAAGAAAGAAGGGAUAGCCUUAACAUACCUGAGCUAAUUCUCUUUUGCGAAAACACGUAACGGCGGAUCGAAGUAGGGAAAAAUUCGUAUGAAUCAUUGAAAUAUUGCACUGUCAAUUUUAUAUUCUUGCUAAGAUGCAAUCUCGUAUGAAUCAUUGAAAUAUUGCACCGUCUAUUGUAUAUUCUUGGUAAAAUGCAAUCUCGUAUGAAUGAUUGAAGUAACCCACGUUACUAUUAUUUUGUAUGAUUUUGCUGGAGCAAUUCACGUUGCUACGGAGAUUAGACAAGACUCUCUUUGUAAAUU
rnacentral:lncRNA from 1 species